AUUCUCACUUGGGCAGACGAGCACUCGCCGACUCGCGGACGGCUGGACACCCUUCGCCUCUUGCUAGACGCUAGUCGCUGCUUGGCGGUCGGCGCUGAGGCACUCGCGGACUCGCCGCCGCCGCCGUCAGCCCUUCGGCCUCGCCGUCCGCCCGUCCUGUCCACAGCUCCACGGCGGCACGCCGGUACAUCGCCCCUCCGGCCUCGCUGUCCACAGCUGCACGCCUCCCCUUUAGCCUCGCCGUCCCGUCGAGGGCUCCAUGCCUGCACGCCGCCCCUUUGGCCUCGCGUCCCGUCCAAGGCUCAAUGCCGACACGCCGCUCCUUCGGCCUCGCCAUCCACGGCUCCAUGCUAUCCCUUCCGGCCUCGUCAUUGGUGGUACGCGCUGCCACCUCUAGCCAUCGGUUCCACUCAGAUCUGCCUAGGAGGCUAAGAGGAGUUGGGGUUGACGAGUUAUGAAGUAUGAAGUAUGGCUGUAUGAAGUAUGAAUUAGGGCACUAAGCAUAAGCAGUUUGAGUGUAUGUGUUUAUGUGCCUGAUGAUAGGAACAAGUAUUCUCUACAUCUUCUGUGGUUGAUAUCUGGUUCAGUGGUUGAGCAAAUAUUCUGUCAUUCUGGGCUACUGUGGUUCAGUCAUGCAUGUUCUGAACUUAGUUUGAUAGCACUUGAGUUUGUUAGUUCGUGUAUAGAUGUUGGUUAUGUCAUGUUCUGUAGUGGUUCUUUUGCUUAGUUUGUUUUGACAGAUAUUGGGUGUUUGAUAGCACUCUUGUUUGUCAAAUUGCAUAUAGAUGUUGGGUGUUUGAUAUCUGGACAUCUGGUUGACUGGUUAAGUGGUUGAACAUGUAUUCUGAUUUCUGA